rnacentral:rRNA from 1 species
CUCAUCGCAUCCUGGGGCUGAAGUAGGUCCCAAGGGUUGGGCUGUUCGCCCAUUAAAGCGGUACGCGAGCUGGGUUCAGAACGUCGUGAGACAGUUCGGUCCCUAUCUGUUGUAGGCGCAGGAGACUUGAGGGGAGCUGUCCUUAGUACGAGAGGACCGGGAUGGACGGACCUCUGGUGUGUGGGUUGUUCUGCCAAGAGCAAUGCCCAGUAGCUACGUCCGGAUGGGAUAACCGCUGAAAGCAUCUAAGUGGGAAGCCCACCCCAAGACUAGGUCUCCCUACCGAGCAAUCGGUACUAAAGGUCUGUGGUAGACUACCACAUUGAUAGGCUGGGUGUGUAAGUCCGGUGACGGAUUCAGCUAACCAGUACUAAUAGACCGUGUGCCUUGACCC